rnacentral:rRNA from 1 species
AGUGAACGCUGGCGGUAGGCCUAACACAUGCAAGUCGAACGGCAGCACAGUAAGAGCUUGCUCUUACGUGUGUCGAGUGUCGGACGGGUGAGUAAUACAUCGGAAUCUACUUUUUCGUGGGGGAUAACGUAGGGAAACUUACGCUAAUAACGCAUACGACCUACUGGUGAAAGCAUGGGAUCUUCUAACCUUGUGCGAUUGAAUGAGCCGAUGUCGGAUUAGCUAGUUGGCUGGGUAAAGGCCCACCAAGGCGACGAUCAGUAGCUGGUCUGAGAGGAUGAUCAGCCACACUGGAAAUGAGACAAGGACCCGACGUCUAAGGGAGGCAGCAGCGGGGAAUAUUGGAGAAUGGGCGGUAGCAUGAUCCAGCCAAAGCGCGUGGGUGAAGAAGGGCUGCGGGUUGUAAAGCCCUUUUGUUGUGAGAGAAAAGCAGCCGGUUACUACCCAGGUGUUCUGACGGAACCGAAAGAAUAAGCACCGGUUACCUUCGU